rnacentral:rRNA from 1 species
AACGAACGCUGGCGGCAUGCCUAACACAUGCAAGUCGAACGAGACCUUCGGGUCUAGUGGCGCACGGGUGCGUAACGCGUGGGAACCUGCCUUUAGGUUCGGAAUAACUCAGAGAAAUUUGAGCUAAUACCGGAUAAUGUCUUCGGACCAAAGAUUUAUCGCCUUUAGAUGGGCCCGCGUUGGAUUAGCUAGUUGGUGGGGUAAAGGCCUACCAAGGCGACGAUCCAUAGCUGGUCUGAGAGGAUGAUCAGCCACACUGGGACUGAGACACGGCCCAGACUCCUACGGGAGGCAGCAGUGGGGAAUAUUGGACAAUGGGCGAAAGCCUGAUCCAGCAAUGCCGCGUGAGUGAUGAAGGCCUUAGGGUUGUAAAGCUCUUUUACCCGAGAUGAUAAUGACAGUAUCGGGAGAAUAAAGCUCCGGCUAACUCCGUGCCAGCAGCCGCGGUAAUGUGUGACUGU